UACAUUGCUGAAGUUACAUUGGGAAGUGAGACCUCGUAGCCUCGCAGCCCACUGUGAUGGUGACUCCUGGGGUAGUUGUGUGGCGGCAUAAAAAUGAUGACGCUCGCCAAAGCCCACUGAUUUUGGAGUGA